rnacentral:misc_RNA from 1 species
CGUUACUGUUAAUUGGUCAAUUUCCAUAUUGGUGGUUAGGGAAGGGUGCUAGCCGCUCUCAAGAGAAAGUUGCUAUCGGGUAGCGUCGUUCGUGAGAAAAAUAGACUUCUCCAAAUUUCCAGUAGUUGGAACAAAGAUUGUUUGUCGGUUUGGAGGACUUUCAUUAAAUAAAUCUUAAUAUUUAUAGCGGGUCCUCGGGCUAGCUGAACAUGUACUGUGGAGACGCGUCAACAUCUGGUAAUCGUCUUACUCGAAGAAUAGAGUCUGCGUGUGGCGAGCCACGGGACAGAAACCAUUGAAACGUUCACCGUCGUGCCCUGUCCCAAGUAUUUCUUUUAAGGAGAGCUAUAGAGUUACUUCAUGCCUUUGUUAGACAAAACGUUCAUCCCUUGACCGCGACUACGUUCGGCGACUGGUUGUCGCCUAGAGCCCGAGCUCACUAUCAUAAAUCUCGAAUAGGUACAGUCGGAUCGAAUGACAACAGGGUCCUCCCAACGCUCCCAAGGGGAGGCUCCGGUGUUCUUUCAUCUCCGACAAAUAUAUGUAGUAUCUUAAUAGGUCUUUAGAGGAAAGGACAAGUAAUGAUGUUUUGGUUUAAUAAAUAACAUUCAAAACAACGAACUGAUUACAAUGCUGUCGCACGUCUUAUUCUUACACUCGGC